AGAGUUUGAUCCUGGCUCAGGAUGAACGCUGACAGAAUGCUUAACACAUGCAAGUCGACUCGAGUCUUCGGACUUGGGUGGCGCACGGGUGAGUAACGCGUAAAGAACUUGCCUCUUAGACUGGGACAACAUCUGGAAACGGAUGCUAAUACCGGAUAUUAUGGUUUCUUCGCAUGGAGGAAUCAUGAAAGCUAGAUGCGCUAAGAGAGAGCUUUGCGUCCCAUUAGCUGGUUGGUGAGGUAACGGCCCACCAAGGCAAUGAUGGGUAGCCGGCCUGAGAGGGUGAACGGCCACAAGGGGACUGAGACACGGCCCUUACUCCUACGGGAGGCAGCAGUGGGGAAUAUUGGACAAUGGACCACAAGUCUGAUCCAGCAAUUCUGUGUGCACGAUGACGUUUUUCGGAAUGUAAAGUGCUUUCAGUCGGGAAGAAGUCAGUGACGGUACCGACAGAAGAAGCGACGGCUAAAUACGUGCCAGCAGCCGCGGUAAUACGUAUGUCGCAAGCGUUAUCCGGAUUUAUUGGGCGUAAAGCGCGUCUAGGCGGCAAGGAAAGUCUGAUGUGAAAAUGCGGAGCUCAACUCCGUAUGGCGUUGGAAACUGCCUUACUAGAGUACUGGAGAGGUAGGCGGAACUACAAGUGUAGAGGUGAAAUUCGUAGAUAUUUGUAGGAAUGCCGAUGGGGAAGCCAGCCUACUGGACAGAUACUGACGCUAAAGCGCGAAAGCGUGGGUAGCAAACAGGAUUAGAUACCCUGGUAGUCCACGCUGUAAACGAUGAUUACUAGGUGUUGGGGGUCAAACCUCAGCGCCCAAGCUAACGCGAUAAGUAAUCCGCCUGGGGAGUACGUACGCAAGUAUGAAACUUAAAGGAAUUGACGG
rnacentral:rRNA from 1 species